GGGGCUUCGUCCCGGUGGAGGGAGAGGAAAUUAGGGUUAGGGUUAGGGUUUUGGAGGGGGAGAGGAUGGCGAACAGGACGGAUCCGCUGGCGAAGAGCAUACAUGGCACGAACCCUCAGAAUCUUGUGGAGAAGAUUGUGCGAUCGAAGAUAUACCAGAAUACUUACUGGAAGGAGCAGUGCUUUGGCCUGACGGCGGAGACGCUGGUUGACAAGGCGAUGGAGCUUGAUCAUUUGGGAGGUACUUUUGGAGGCAAUCGCCGGCCGACGCCAUUCAUAUGUCUUGUUAUGAAGAUGCUCCAGAUCCAGCCUGACAAGGAUAUCGUUGUCGAGUUCAUUAAGAACGAGGAUUAUAAAUAUGUGCGAAUUCUUGGGGCUUUUUACAUGCGAUUGACUGGGACUGUUACUGAUGUGUACCAAUACCUCGAGCCACUUUAUAAUGACUAUCGAAAGCUUAGGAGGAAAACGUCAGAUGGAAGUUUUUCAUUGACUCAUGUGGAUGAGGUGAUCGAUGAACUACUUACAAAGGAUUACUCUUGUGAUAUUGCUUUACCACGCGUCCAGAAGAGGUGGACUCUUGAGACAACUGGUGUGUUGGAACCCAGAAAAAGUGUUUUAGAUGAGGAUUUUGAAGAAGAAGAAGAAAAGGAAGAGGAAGAGCAGGCAGCUUUAGAGGAUGAUACUCAUGAAAAGGAUUAUCAUGGAAGGAGUCCCACAAGGGAUAGGGAAAGAGAUAGGAAGCGUGAUAAACAAUACAGGGAUAGGGACAGGGAUAGGGACAGAGACUAUGAUCGGGACUAUGCAAGGGGGCGAGAAAGAGAUAGGGAUCGGGAUCGUGACCGCGAUAGGGACAGAGACCGGGACAGGGACCGCCACCGGCUCAGAGAUGAAAGGGAUUAUGGCCGUGAGAGGGAUCGAGAUAGAGAAUGGGAAGGUAGGGAUAGGGAUAGAAGGGACAGAGACCGUGGUCGUCGAAGAAGCCGCUCAAGAAGCAGAAGCAGGAGCAGGGAUCGCAGGGAACGAGACCGAGACGAUGGUGACCUCCGCAAGAGACGUGCUCGUGGCAGCACUAGUCCACAUAGGCGACCAGAGGAUGACAACAAUUCUAGGGAGGAACAAUCAAAGAAGAAGAAAGGAAAAGAAGGAGAAGAAGAGUGACGGUACUGACCAUCCCUGAUCCAGAGAUUGCCGAAGCCAACAGGCUUCGUGCCUCCCUCGGUCUGGCACCGCUGAAGUGAUAAACGUUAUUUUGGAUACCAACAGGAUUGCAAAUUGAUUUUGGAUAACGUUAUUUUGGGCUUUGCGUUUGAUUUAGGGUUUCAUUUUGGGAAAAGUGCAGGAAGGGACGAUGGAAAUUCUAGUUCUCAUGAUCAAUGAAAUUGGGAUUAAACUCAUGCUUCUCAUGUUCAGUGAAAAUGUUAAGUGUAAUUGGAUUUAUAUUUCUGGUGUUUAGUGAGAUGUAUGAAAGUGAAUUUCAUGAGUGAUUUU